rnacentral:lncRNA from 8 species
AAUGGUAUUCUUAUCUUGUAUGUGACUGGUGGUGCUGCAGGGAAUGAAAAUGGAAAAAAACAUCUCCAUCAGAAAACCGGAGGAAACUCCAUAUCAAGGGAGUUUCGUCCAAAGGCAGCGCACAAUACCUUAGCUAACCCUUUACGGUCUGUAGACUUUAAUACAUUACACUAUACCUUAGCUAACCCUUUACGGUCUGUAGACUUUAAUACAUUACACUAUACCUUAGCUAACCCUUUACGGUCUGUAGACUUUAACACAUUACACUAUACCUUAGCUAACCCUUUACGGUCUGUAGACUUUAACACAUUACACUAUACCUCAGUUAACUCUUUAUGGUCUGUAGACCUUAACACAUUACACAAUACCUUAGCUAACUCUUUACGGUCUGUAGACUUUAACACAUUACACAAUACCUUAUCUAACCCUUUACGGUCUGUAGACUUUAACACAUUACACAAUACCUUAGCUAACCCUUUACGGUCUGUAGACUUUAAUACAUUACACUAUACCUCAGUUAACUCUUUACGGUCUGUAGACUUUAACACAUUACACAAUACCUUAGCUAACCCUUUACGGUCUGUAGACUUUAAUACAUUACACUAUACCUCAGUUAACUCUUUAUGGUCUGUAGACUUUAACACAUUACACUAUACCUUAGCUAACCCUUUACGGUCUGUAGACUUUAAUACAUUACACUAUACCUUAGCUAACCCUUUACGGUCUGUAGACUUUAAUACAUUACACUAUACCUUAGCUAACCCUUUACGGUCUGUAGACUUUAAUACAUUACACUAUACCUCAGUUAACUCUUUAUGGUCUGUAGACUUUAAUACAUUACACUAUACCUUAGCUAACCCUUUACGGUCUGUAGACUUUAAUACAUUACACUAUACCUCAGUUAACUCUUUAUGGUCUGUAGACUUUAACACAUUACACUAUACCUCAGUUAACUAUUUAUGGUCUGUAGACUUUAACACAUUACACUAUACCUCAGUUAACUCUUUAUGGUCUGUAGACUUUAAUACAUUACACUAUACCUUAGCUAACCCUUUACGGUCUGUAGACUUUAAUACAUUACACUAUACCUUAGCUAACCCUUUACGGUCUGUAGACUUUAACACAUUACACUAUACCUUAGUUAACUCUUUAUGGUCUGUAGACUUUAACACAUUACACUAUACCUCAGUUAACUCUUUAUGGUCUGUAGAAUGUAACACAGAUUGUUCUGAAAUCGAUUCUGUUGUUACAAAUGGAUAA